rnacentral:rRNA from 1 species
ACAAGCGGUGGAUGAUGUGGAUUAAUUCGAUGACAACGCGUAAAACCUUACCUACCUUGACAUGUCCGGAAUCCCGAAGAGAGUUUGGGAGUGCUCGCAAGAGAACCGGAACACAGGUGCUGCAUGGCUGUCGUCAGCUCGUGUCGUGAGAUGUUGGGUUAAGUCCCGCAACGAGCGCAACCCUUGUCAUUAGUUGCCAUCAUUUGGUUGGGCACUCUAAUGAGACUGCCGGUGACAAACCGGAGGAAGGUGGGGAUGACGUCAAGUCCUCAUGGCCCUUAUGGGUAGGGCUUCACACGUCAUACAAUGGUCGGUACAGAGGGUUGCCAACCCGCGAGGGGGAGCUAAUCCCACAAAGCCGAUCGUAGUCCGGAUCGCAGUCUGCAACUCGACUGCGUGAAGUCGGAAUCGCUAGUAAUCGUGGAUCAGCAUGUCACGGUGAAUACGUUCCCGGGUCUU